rnacentral:lncRNA from 1 species
GAUAACCUCCAUUGAUUGAAAAAUUGUGAGUUCCACUCCUUUGCUUCAAUAGCAACGGCCACUUAGUCCAGCACAUCCCCUUUGUCAUAGAUCAGUAGAAGGCAAAAAUGGAUACACAUCUAUAUGGGCCUACUCCUAUCAUACUUUAUACAUAGCAACAAAUUGAGAUUACAUAUGGCUACAUAAUAAGAUUCCUUUGCAUCAUCGUGUUCUUACUUUGAAAUAUCGUAGCAGCAAAUUGAAAGAUUCUAAUGUGUUAGUUUUGGCACAAUGGGCUUCGGCCUCCUUGACAUCCAGCUGCCUAUUGGCAAGCAAUUUUUGAAUCAUCUCUGGUACACACCAUGCACAUAGUUAGCGUGAUUAUAGCAUUGUAGGCAACAAAAAGGAAUCCAUAUGUAAUCUGAAUCUUCACUGAACUUUUUAGGUUUGACCGUCCAGGACCUCGGUCACACAAAAUUUGACAGCUCAAACUUUUACCCUGACCAGUCUUCCAUCAUCCAUGGCAAAUCCAUGACAUACUUGGCUUCACAUUGAGAUGGUUCACCACCUUCAUCUCACACGACUUGUCACACUGCAUAUCCACAAACCAAUCCAGUUAAUGUUUGACGACUGAAAAAAAUUUAGAGUAAAUCGACAGAUGCAUGAAUAAAUCAACCGAUGCGUUGCAUCGGGAGAAAAAAAACAUCACAAACACACCACCAAGCUCUAGCACCUUCGCCUACAACAUGGCAAUCA